UGGCUAUAAGACUGUUGACUAUUCACUUUAACUGUGUAUCGCUGUUUUAUCCAAGUUACUUUUGUUGGACCUUGUUUAAUAAUUGAGAAGAUGCCAAAGACACGAGCUAAGACAAGAAAAGUUGACAGGAGGACCCUAAGAAAAGAAAGAUUUCAUCAUUUGGGAAAGAAAAGUUGGGAAAA